GAUAACUGAGCUUGUGGCAGCCAAGCGUUCAUAUCGCUGUCGCUUUUUGAUCCUUCCAUGUCAGCUCUUCCUAUUGUUGUGAAGCAGAACUCACCAAGCAUUGGGCUGUUCACUCGCUAAUUGGGAACCUGCAUUUAGACCAUCGUGAGACAGGUC
rnacentral:ncRNA from 1 species